ensembl:Mt_tRNA
GCCUUUGUAGUAUAAAAAUUACUCUGGUUUUGUAAACCAGGAAUGGAGACACCACUCUCCCAAAGACA